UGGUUCAAGCAAACCACUUUUUUUAUUACAUUUUUGUCUAGAUUUUAGGAUUUUUGCUGGGAUUUGAGGGUGCUCUCUGGGUAAUACUGGCAAAUCUUUCUUAUGAGGUGUUUGGUUUCUUCAAUCCAUUUCUACUCCUGUCUUUUCCUGUUUUCCAGCUGGCAAACUUUCUAAACCCUGGGUGAAUACUGAAGGCAGGCGGGAUGAUCGUGUUUAUGUGAUUUUUCAAACACGGAACAAUCCCAGAAAUUACAUUGUCAAGCUCCUCCCUCCUGUGUAGAAAGUUGCACGUCCAGAAAGAGGGUUUCAUCUCCACUUGUACAUUCUUGUCACUGCUCGACAGGAUGUUGAAUGUGGAUCUGCUGCUUUGGGUGUGUUUAAAUAAGAAGUGACUGCACUUCGCUUUGAGAAUAUUUCAGACUUCCUGAAGAAACUGUGAAAAGAUUUGUGACGGAAAAUACAGCUCUUCAAAGAUUUCUAGUAUUGACAGAGGAGUUUGAGAGGAAUAAAGCAUGCACAAAUUAUCUGGGCUCUUCAAAUUCAGGUACUGUUCUCCCCUUUCUAAAUUUCCUUUCUUUCUUUCGAAAUAUGAUGCAAGGCAGCAAUUCUUCAUCGGCAUUGAAGCUCAGACCAUAACUUGGACUGUGUGGACACCAUAAUUGUGAUUGAUCUUGUGCUGCAGCCAGCUCCCGACUCAGACUGGAACUCAGACACACAGAGAGUCAAUACAGCCCUCUUUACUCAACAAAACCUAGUGCAGAGAUCUGGGAAGGAGAGGAGAGUAUCAGAAAUGCCGAUCCCAUUACACCUCAGGUGUUUCUUCUGCUCUCCUGUAUUACCAACAAGAGGUUUCAGGACUGUGUGGUGACUUUAUGGAUGCAUGUGAGGGAAAUUCUCCUUCUGGGAAACAAUCCUUCUGAGUGCACAGCUGUCAAAAUGGAUUGCCAUCAAGGCUUUGAAAAGUAGUUAAAUAUUAUUUAAUGAAAUGAGCAGAUUGGAGCAGAGAGGGUUAAAUGUAUCUUCCAAAAAGUUAUACAAUAUCUGGAAAAAAAUUAUUGGGUGAGUUCCCUCUGAUUGCUAAUUGCAUACAGUAUUAAGACAUCAUUUUCUUUCCUUUCUCAUUUGCUCUAUGCUUCAAGGUAAAAGAUGGAACACGGGAUUAUGACAAAUUCUCCUCUGGGAUCUGUGUAGUGGGGCUUGUCUUUGAUCUUCCUUUCUCCUGCCCUUGGAGACCAAAUGCAUUUUUGCACAUGGCAAAUGCACAGAACUGUGGGGCUCAGGACUGCUGUGCUGAUCAGAGAGAAUUUCCCUGAAAGGUCUGUGCUCUGCAUUAUUGAAACAUUAAAAAGUGUUUGGAGCUUGAAUUGGACAUGUCCUGCCCUGGAAGCUGUGGUCUGGCUUGGGAUGAAGGGUCAGAUGGUCCCAAAUUUGGAUGUGACCUGUGCAGAGUCAUGAGGCAGAUUUUAUUUUCCUUUUUAUUUUGUAUUUGCUACCUUGAACUGGUGGUUAAUAAGGGAGUUACCUGUAAUUUUUGUGAGCUCUGCUCUCCUGGUAACAGUUAUAAUGUAUUCUAAGGGAUUAAGGCUAUAGAGGGCAUAUAUUUCAAAUAGAUUUAUAUUAGAGAAGCCAAUCCUGUCAAUCAAGUAGCUGAUACCUAAAACUGGAUAUUGAGAACCUCAGAUUAAAGAUACAGGGGCUCCCUAAAAUGAAGUCUGUACCAGGCUGUGCUGGGUCAGCAGCACAAAAAAGCAGCACUGAGCUGUGUGCAGUGGAGAUAAAAUGAAAAUCGAGAUAGAAAAUGAAAAUAGAGCUCUUCAGCAGCACCAUUAUUUCACUGGCACUGCUGUGUGUUGGGUGUCUUGGAGCUGCUAAAUUUAGCACAUUUUGUGCAAGGUGUGUCAACACCCUUGGAGGGCUCUGCCAUCGUGGAAGAGCUUGGCAGGGUGGUGCUGAGUGAGAUACAG